rnacentral:rRNA from 1 species
GGACCGGUGGGUUGGUCGUGCUUUUGUACGUACUGGCCCUACAGGUUCCUCUCUUCUGAAGAACCAUGAUGCCAUUAAUUUGGUGUUGUGGGGAAUCAGGACUGUUACUUUGAAAAAAUUAGAGUGUUUAAAGCAGGCUAAAGCUUGAAUAGAUUAGCAUGGAAUAAUGAAAUAGGACGUUUGAUCUUAUUUUGUUGGUUUCUAGGAUCGACGUA